AUUGAACGCUGGCGGCAGGCCUAACACAUGCAAGUCGAACGGUAACAGGAAGCAGCUUGCUGCUUUGCUGACGAGUGGCGGACGGGUGAAUAAUGUCUGGGAAACUGCCUGAUGGAGGGGGAUAACUACUGGAAACGGUAGCUAAUACCGCAUAACGUCGCAAGACCAAAGAGGGGGACCUUCGGGCCUCUUGCCAUCGGAUGUGCCCAGAUGGGAUUAGCUAGUAGGUGGGGUAACGGCUCACCUAGGCGACGAUCCCUAGCUGGUCUGAGAGGAUGACCAGCCACACUGGAACUGAGACACGGUCCAGACUCCUACGGGAGGCAGCAGUGGGGAAUAUUGCACAAUGGGCGCAAGCCUGAUGCAGCCAUGCCGCGUGUAUGAAGAAGGCCUUCGGGUUGUAAAGUACUUUCAGCGGGGAGGAAGGGAGUAAAGUUAAUACCUUUGCUCAUUGACGUUACCCGCAGAAGAAGCACCGGCUAACUCCGUG
rnacentral:rRNA from 1 species